CGGAUACUAAAGUGACUAGCGUGUAACACGUGUAUUCAUUUAAUCUGUUCAUAUGUUUACAUGUCCGUGUGGUGUAUUGUAAUCAGUGUCUUUUUUUGUAACUAUUUAGCACAGGGCUCUUUAGUAACGGUAACAGUAGAAUUUCAGGUGGUCAAUUACGUCUUUAAAGACGUCAUGAACUGGGAAAACUAAAUUCUAUACUAUAAAAAUAUCCUGUAAUAUAAACUAUAAAUAUCCUGGUUUGUUGGUCUAAAAACAACAACUCAUGGAAUGUGUCAUUUUAUGAUUCAACAGUGUGACUAAACACAUCCUCCGUAGAUCAACGGCUGCUUCUACAUCACUGCUUAGCCCCGCCCACUGAUUCACACGUACUAGCCCCAUCUAACCCCGCACGAGGAGGUGUCAGUUCCUCGGCCUGCUCAUUUCCUCAAUGAAACUGUGAGAACAGCAGGCUCCUCUUGCUUGGAUGCCCAGUAAAGCAUGUGCAGUCUUCCCAGUUUGGAAAGCAUGUGGAGCCUUGGCUUGAAGUCGGAUGUUAUGUGAAGCUCUUUCCCUAUAGGGAGUUUCAUAAGCGUUGCUACCUCGUUCCUCUUCGUGGCUCUGUCCCUGGUAUUCACAUGCAGAACUACGUUCAAUAUAUUAAGCCACGUUAUGCCGACAUUUAGACACAUCUCUUGUCUUGAUUUUAUUUCCUGUAAGUGUAUGGAAACAGGCCUGAUUUAAAGGGAUAGAUCAUCAAAAAUGAAAACUACCACAUGAUUUACUCACCCCUAAGCUAAGUGUAUACAGCAUCUUUAUUUCCGAUGAAUGCAAACUGAGUUAUAUUACGCCCUUUCUUAAGCUUUUCAAUGGCAGAGAUUUUGAGUCCAUCCGUCAUAAAAGUACUUCAUUUGUUAAGAGCAAAGAAAAAAGCAGUCUGUUAUUGACAUUAAAAUCCUCCGGCGUUUCGCACUUGUUUUGCUUUGCUCUUCAGUGCUCAUCACUUCUCACAGGAGUUUACACCAUACGCCUACGUCAUUGCCUAGAGAUUACGGUUUAUAAAGUAAUAUUUUGCAUCUCAUUUUGCUUUUAUUAACCCCCAGGAGCUAUGUGGAGAACUUUGUAUAACGGAUGGAUGCACCUUGUGCUUCAAAAUUAAUACCAGCUGUAUCAGCUGUACCAACUGCAUUGUAUUCAUCUGAAAGAAGAAAGUCAUAUUCACCUAGGAUGGCUUGAGGGUGAGUAAAUCAUGGUCAUUUCAGUUUUUGGGUGAACUAUCCCUUUAAGAUGUUGAUCUUGAUGCAAUACAUAUAAAGUAUGAAAAAAAAUAUUUUAUGUGCAAUAUUUUGAUACAUUUCCGUUAGUUGCAUUAAAAUUAUAGACUACAAUGGCCCCCAAAAUGAUUUUGAUGCAAGCCAUAUUUAACCAUGUAUGAAUGUCUUGCAUUAAGAUAUAUAAAGCAAAGUUUUACUCAGUGUAAAGGAAAAAAUAUGGCACUUUUUUCAACAUAAACAUUUCACAAUAAUAGGUUUUCAAUGUUUCAAAUUAUAAAACAAUAUGUUACUCAAUAUUAGGUAAUUAAAAUGUUCACAUGAACUUGACGGGGGCUUACUUUACGAACGCACUACAAGGACCUUGAACAAGUUGCUCAUAUAGAUAUUUUAGUGACAUUUUUAGGUGUGACUUAAGCGAACAAAUACCAUUCGAAGUCACUUCCCUGUUUUUCUUCCUAGAAACAAAAUUAACUCAAAGAGUAAUUCAUAAAAUGUAAAAUGUUUAAUGUUUUUCAGUAACAAAAUCCAGUGAAAGACUUGCAGGCUGACAUUUGGAGUAACAGGACUCAGCAGCGGCCACAGCAUGGAUGACAGGUUGCAUGAAGUGUGUUCUGUGCGCUUUGUGCCACAGGUCUUCAUGUCACAGAAGCAGUUACAAGCAUCAUCUCUAGCCAUGUUGCCCUUUGGCUUAGUAUUGAACGAACUAAAGUUUGAAUGUUAAACAUUGAAAACAUUUUCUCAAAGUUUAGACAUCAAAACACUGGGAGAAAUAUCAUCGGGAGCUGUUAUAGAACAACGGGUUUAGCCCGCGACAGUUCUUGGGCCUAUAUACAUUAUACAAUAUCUUAAUAAAUUAUACUAUCGUUUUCAAAAAAUGAACGCCCUGAAAUAGAGACAAGAUUGAAAGCAUUAAUACGCAACAUUUUCGCAAUUCAAAAGUAUGAGUUCACCAUAACAAUAAAUAGAAGAGCUUUAGAGAGCAAAUAUAGCUACGUUUGUUCAUACAAAAUGGAUACGUUGCUGAAAUAUCCCCAUAUUAACUGGGUGACGUCCCUGUGGCUAUUGUGUAUUGUGCAUUUUAUUGCAUGUAUUCUGUUUUCUAGUUCACAUUUACUGCAUUUUCCUAUUGAACGUAGGAAGCUUAUGUGCUUGAAAUCCAGUGUAUUAUUACUAUCAUUAUUAUUAUUAUUAAUAUUAUUUGCAUUUACACAUACAUAGUCAAAUUCUCAGAGCUGGAUCUGUUAACAGAGGUGAAUGGUCCAGAUUUUAUUUGCAAAACAAAGCCUUCAUGAGAAUCAUUGCACAUAUGCUACAAUUGUACCCCUUCUUGUACCUGUCGUUUAAGGAGAGUUUCCUGAAUAGUAAAGGGAAGUUACUCCAAAGAUUCGAGUCCUUUUUUUUUUUUUUUUUUCUU